rnacentral:snRNA from 1 species
GUGCUCACUUCGGCAGCACAUAUACUAAAAUUGGAACAAUACAAAGAAGAUUAGCAUGGCCCCUGUGCAAGGAUAACACUCAAAUUUAUGAAGUGUUUCUUAAAAAA